rnacentral:rRNA from 1 species
AUUGAACGCUGGCGGCAUGCCUUACACAUGCAAGUCGAACGGUAACAGGUUAAGCUGACGAGUGGCGAACGGGUGAGUAAUGUAUCGGAACGUGCCCAGUCGUGGGGGAUAACUGCUCGAAAGAGCAGCUAAUACCGCAUACGACCUGAGGGUGAAAGCGGGGGAUCGCAAGACCUCGCGCGAUUGGAGCGGCCGAUAUCAGAUUAGGUAGUUGGUGGGGUAAAGGCCUACCAAGCCUACGAUCUGUAGCUGGUCUGAGAGGACGACCAGCCACACUGGGACUGAGACACGGCCCAGACUCCUACGGGAGGCAGCAGUGGGGAAUUUUGUACAAUGGACGCAAGUCUGAUCCAGCCAUGCCGCGUGCGGGAAGAAGGCCUUCGGGUUGUAAACCGCUUUUGUCAGGGAAGAAAAGGUUCUGGUUAAUACCUGGGACUCAUGACGGUACCUGAAGAAUAAGCACCGGCUAACUACGUGCCAGCCGCCGCCGUAAUAC